AGCUUGUCAAUGAUGUUUCUCUUUAAAAAAUGUCUGAACAUAUGAGUUCAGAAGUGAUUUCAACCUGUAACUGAGAUAAGCU
rnacentral:snoRNA from 1 species